UACGGAGGGUGCAAGCGUUUUUCGGAAUUACUGGGCGUAAAGCGCGUGUAGGCGGUUGGGCAAGUCAGAUGUGAAAUACUUCCGCUCAACGGGAGAAGUGCAUUUGAAACUACUCAACUAGAGUACGGGAGAGGAGAGUGGAAUUCCCGGUGUAGAGGUGAAAUUCGUAGAUAUCGGGAGGAACAUCGGUGGCGAAGGCGGCUCUCUGGCCCGAUACUGACGCUGAGGCGCGAAAGGGUGGGGAGCAAACAGG
rnacentral:rRNA from 1 species